rnacentral:rRNA from 1 species
AACGAACGCUGGCGGCAUGCCUAACACAUGCAAGUCGAACGAGACCUUCGGGUCUAGUGGCGCACGGGUGCGUAACGCGUGGGAACCUGCCCUUAGGUUCGGAAUAACUCCCCGAAAGGGGUGCUAAUACCGGAUAAUGUCUUCGGACCAAAGAUUUAUCGCCUUUGGAUGGGCCCGCGUUGGAUUAGCUAGUUGGUAGGGUAAAAGCCUACCAAGGCGACGAUCCAUAGCUGGUCUGAGAGGAUGAUCAGCCACACUGGGACUGAGACACGGCCCAGACCACCCCGGGCGGCAGAAGGGGGGAUUGUGGGACCAUGCGCGAAGGCUUGUCCCACUAGUCCCCCGGGGAUGAUAAAGGCCUUAGGGUUGGAAACCGCUUCUGCCCGGGACGUAAAGGCCGGCCCCGGAAGAGUAACCACCGCCUACCCCCCUC